rnacentral:lncRNA from 1 species
UUAUGUAAUACAUGUACACUAGCCACUUUAACUAUGGCCACUUGGUUUACAUACUCAUCUCAUAUGUAUAUACUGUACUCGAUAUCAUCUACUGUAUCUUGCCUAUGCUGCUCUGUACCAAUCACUCAUUCAUAUAUCCUUAUGUACAUAUUCUUUAUCCCCUUACACUGUGUAUAAGACAGUAGUUUUUUGGGAAUUGUUAGUUAGAUUACUUGUUCGUUAUUACUGCAUUGUCGGAACUAGAAGCACAAGCAUUUCGCUACACUCGCAUUAACAUCUGCUAACCAUGUGUAUGUGACAAAUAAAAUUUGAUUUGAUUGCCUUCACUAAACUUAUCUGGAUUCACACGUAAAUAUGAACAUACGACUCACAGAGCUGCCAUAGCGUUUGUGAGACUGUAAUUAAGAUGGUGCUUACUGUCCUCUCUCUCACUCCUUUCUGAGCUGAAGGAGCGGACCCAUCCCAGUCUGUUGAGGUGUGUGAGACAGUGUUUUACAAGGCCUUGACCAGGAUGCUGGUUGCUGGUAUCCUGUCCAGUGGUACUACAACAGAGAUAGUACAGUACUACCAUAAAAAGACUCUGAGGCUGAUCCGGCGGGCCGUGCGACCAGACAGGGAGGACGGGGACCAUGUUCUCACCUACUACACCAAGGGAGCUCAUCUCAUAGGCCUGAAGAGCAACCAGCUCCUCAAGUACAUCCAGCCAGUGGAGACAAUUGCCCAGAGCCAGAAGAAGAAGGACAGCGCGUACUUGAGGCGUCCCAGCCUUAUCGUGGCCUACAUCUCCUGGGACCCCCGACGCAUGUUUUGA